rnacentral:rRNA from 1 species
AGAGUUUGAUCAUGGCUCAGAAUCAACGCUGGCGGCGUGCCUAACACAUGCAAGUCGAACGAGAAAGUGGAGCAAUCCAUGAGUAAAGUGGCGUACGGGUGAGUAACACGUGACUAACCUACCCUUGAGUGGGGGAUAACUUCGGGAAACCGAGGCUAAUACCGCAUAAUACCUUCGGGUCAAAGGAGUAAUUCGCUUAAGGAGGGGGUCGCGGCUGAUUAGCUAGUUGGUAGGGUAAUGGCCUACCAAGGCAAUGAUCAGUAUCCGGCCUGAGAGGGCGCACGGACACACUGGAACUGAAACACGGUCCAGACUCCUACGGGAGGCAGCAGUGGGGAAUUUUGCACAAUGGGGGAAACCCUGAUGCAGCAACGCCGCGUGGAGGAUGAAGUCCCUUGGGAUGUAAACUCCUUUCGACCGGGACGAUAAUGACGGUACCGGUGGAAGAAGCCCCGGCUAACUCUGUGCCAGCAGCCGCGGUAAUACAGAGGGGGCAAGCGUUGUUCGGAAUUAUUGGGCGUAAAGGGUGCGUAGGCGGUGCGGUAAGUCUUCUGUGAAAUCUCCGGGCUCAACUCGGAGUCUGCAGGAGAAACUGCCGUGCUUGAGUAUGGGAGAGGUGAGUGGAAUUCCUGGUGUAGCGGUGAAAUGCGUAGAUAUCAGGAGGAACACCUGUGGCGAAAGCGGCUCACUGGACCAUAACUGACGCUGAGGCACGAAAGCUAG